rnacentral:tRNA from 1 species
UGGCUUAGUGGUAAAGAAUCUGCCUGCAAUGCAGGAGAUACAGGUUCAAUCCCUGG